AUGAACGCUGGCGGCGUGCCUAAUACAUGCAAGUCGAGCGAACAGACGAGGAGCUUGCUCCUCUGACGUUAGCGGCGGACGGGUGAGUAACACGUGGAUAACCUACCUAUAAGACUGGGAUAACUUCGGGAAACCGGAGCUAAUACCGGAUAAUAUAUUGAACCGCAUGGUUCAAUAGUGAAAGACGGAUUUGCUGUCACUUAUAGAUGGAUCCGCGCCGCAUUAGCUAGUUGGUAAGGUAACGGCUUACCAAGGCAACGAUGCGUAGCCGACCUGAGAGGGUGAUCGGCCACACUGGAACUGAGACACGGUCCAGACUCCUACGGGAGGCAGCAGUAGGGAAUCUUCCGCAAUGGGCGAAAGCCUGACGGAGCAACGCCGCGUGAGUGAUGAAGGUCUUCGGAUCGUAAAACUCUGUUAUUAGGGAAGAACAAAUGUGUAAGUAACUAUGCACGUCUUGACGGUACCUAAUCAGAAAGCCACGGCUAACUACGUG
rnacentral:rRNA from 1 species